GGAGCUGGAUGCUCAGUGGUAGAGCAUCUGCCUAGCAAGCACAAAACCCUGAGUUUAAAUUCCAGUACCACCA
rnacentral:tRNA from 1 species